rfam:Penicillium chrysogenum Wisconsin 54-1255 complete genome, contig Pc00c49
GUAGAUAUAAUUCAAAUGGUAGAAUAUUUACUUGUGGCGUAAUACAUCCUAGUUCGAUUCUAGGUAUCUACC